GGGAGCUUAGUAAAGUGGCAUAACAGGUGGCUCCAAACCACCAGUCGGGGGUUCGAUUCCCUCAGCUCCCG
rnacentral:tRNA from 1 species